rnacentral:rRNA from 1 species
UACGGAGGGGGCUAGCGUUGUUCGGAAUUACUGGGCGUAAAGCGCACGUAGGCGGCUUUGUAAGUUAGAGGUGAAAGCCUGGUGCUCAACACCAGAACUGCCUUUUAGACUGCAUCGCUUGAAUCAUGGAGAGGUGAGUGGAAUUCCGAGUGUAGAGGUGAAAUUCGUAGAUAUUCGGAAGAACACCAGUGGCGAAGGCGGCUCACUGGACAUGUAUUGACGCUGAGGUGCGAAAAGCGUG